rnacentral:siRNA from 1 species
UUAGGAAGUCUGUCAAUUGGGUCU